rnacentral:rRNA from 1 species
AAUCCGGUUGAUCCUGCCGGACCUGACUGCUAUCGGAUUGAUACUAAGCCAUGCGAGUCAUUGUAGCAAUACAAGGCAGACGGCUCAGUAACGCGUAGUCAACCUAACCUAUGGACGGGAAUAACCUCGGGAAACUGAGAAUAAUGCCCGAUAGAACACUAUACCUGGAAUGGUUUGUGUUCCAAAUGAUUUAUCGCCGUAGGAUGGGACUGCGGCCUAUCAGUUUGUUGGUGAGGUAAUGGCCCACCAAGACUAUUACAGGUACGGGCUCUGAGAGGAGUAGCCCGGAGAUGGGUACUGAGACACGGACCCAGGCCCUAUGGGGCGCAGCAGGCGAGAAAACUUUGCAAUGUGCGAAAGCAC